rnacentral:rRNA from 1 species
AGUGAACGCUGGCGGUAGGCCUAACACAUGCAAGUCGAACGGCAGCACAGGAGAGCUUGCUCUCUGGGUGGCGAGUGGCGGACGGGUGAGGAAUACAUCGGAAUCUACCUUUUCGUGGGGGAUAACGAAGGGAAACUUACGCUAAUACCGCCUACGACCUACGGGUGAAAGUGGGGGACCGCAAGGCCUCACGCGAUUAGAUGAGCCGAUGUCCGAUUGGCUAGUUGGCGGGGUAAUGGCCCACCAAGGCGAGGAUCGGUAGCUGGGCUGAGAGGAUGAUCAGCCACACUGGAACGGAGACACGGUCCAGACUCCUACGGGAGGCAGCAGUGGGGAAUAUUGGACAAUGGGCGCAAGCCUGAUCCAGCCAUACCGCGUGGGUGAAGAAGGCCUUCGGGUUGUAAAGCCCUUUUGUUGGGAAAGAAAUCCUAUCGGUUAAUAACCGGUGGGGAUGACGGUACCCAAAGAAUAAGCACCGGCUAACUUCGUGCCAGCAGCCGCAGUAACAC